rnacentral:rRNA from 1 species
UACAGAGGUCCCAAGCGUUGUUCGGAUUCACUGGGCGUAAAGGGUGCGUAGGCGGUCGGGUAAGUUUGAUGUGAAAUCUCCGAGCUUAACUCGGAAAUGGCAUUGAAUACUAUUCGGCUAGAGAGUCGGAGGGGGGACUGGAAUACUUGGUGUAGCAGUGAAAUGCGCAGAUAUCAGGAGGAACACCAAUUGCGAAGGCAGCCCGCUGGGACGUUACUGACGCUGAGACGCGAAAGCGUGGGGAGCAAACAGG